rnacentral:rRNA from 1 species
GACGGAGGGGGCUAGCGUUGUUCGGAAUUACUGGGCGUAAAGCGUGCGUAGGCGGCCUUUCAAGUUGGGUGUGAAAGCCCGGGGCUCAACCCCGGAAUGCGCCCAAGACUGUUUGGCUAGAGUCUCGGAGAGGUGAGUGGAACUCCCAGUGUAGAGGUGAAAUUCGUAGAUAUUGGGAAGAACACCAGUGGCGAAGGCGGCUCACUGGACGAGUACUGACGCUGAGGCAC